AGAGUUUGAUCCUGGCUCAGGAUGAACGCUAGCGGCAGGCCUAACACAUGCAAGUCGAACGGUAACAGAUCUAGCUUGCUAGAUGCUGACGAGUGGCGCACGGGUGAGUAACGCGUAUACAAUCUACCUUUAACUGAGGAAUAGCCCAGAGAAAUUUGGAUUAAUACCUCAUAGUAUUAUAUUAAGGCAUCUUUUUAUAAUUAAAACUUCGGUGGUUAAAGAUGAGUAUGCGUCCUAUUAGUUUGUUGGUAAGGUAAAAGCUUACCAAGACUACGAUAGGUAGGGGGCCUGAAAGGGUGAUCCCCCACACUGGUACUGAGACACGGACCAGACUCCUACGGGAGGCAGCAGUGAGGAAUAUUGCACAAUGGAGGAAACUCUGAUGCAGCCAUGCCGCGUGCAGGAUGAAUGCCCUAUGGGUUGUAAACUGCUUUUAUACAAGAAGAAACCUCGGUACGUGUACCGACUUGACGGUAUUGUAUGAAUAAGCACCGGCUAACUCCGUGCCAGCAGCCGCGGUAAUACGGAGGGUGCAAGCGUUAUCCGGAUUUAUUAGGUUUAAAGGGUCCGCAGGCGGAAUAUUAAGUCAGUGGUGAAAGCCUACAGCUCAACUGUAGAACUGCCAUUGAAACUGUUAUUCUUGAGUAUGGAUGAAGUGGGCGGAAUAUGUCAUGUAGCGGUGAAUGCAUAGAUAUGACAUGGAACACCAAUUGCGAAGGCAGCUCACUAAACCAUUACUGACGCUCAUGGACGAAAGCGUGGGGAGCGAACAGGAUUAGAUACCCUGGUAGUCCACGCCGUAAACUAUGAUCACUAGAUGUUGGCGAUAUAAUGUCAGCGUUUAAGAGAAAUCGAUAAGUGAUCCACCUGGGGAGUACGUUCGCAAGAAUGAAACUCAAAGGAAUUGACGGGGGCCCGCACAAGCGGAGGAGCAUGUGGUUUAAUUCGAUGAUACGCGAGGAACCUUACCAAGGCUUAAAUGUAAUAUGACCGGUUGAGAGAUCAACCUUUUUUCGAACAGAUUACAAGGUGCUGCAUGGUUGUCGUCAGCUCGUGCCGUGAGGUGUCGGGUUAAGUCCCAUAACGAGCGCAACCCCUAUUUUUAGUUACCAGCGAGUAAUGUCGGGAACUCUAGAAAAACUGCCUGUGCAAACAGAGAGGAAGGUGGGGAUGACGUCAAAUCAUCACGGCCCUUAUGUCUUGGGCUACACACGUGCUACAAUGGUUACUACAAUGUGAUGCCAUCUGGUGACAGAGAGCUAAUCAAUAAAGGUAAUCUCAGUUCGGAUCGGAGUCUGCAACUCGACUCUGUGAAGUUGGAUUCGCUAGUAAUCGUAUAUCAGCAAUGAUCCGGUGAAUACGUUCCCGGGCCUUGUACACACCGCCCGUCAAGCCAUGGAAUCUGGGAGUACCUGAAGUCGGUGACCGCAAGGAGCCGCCUAGGGUAAAACUGGUAACUAGGGCUAAGUCGUAACAAGGUAACC
rnacentral:rRNA from 1 species